UUGGUUAUAUCUUGCAAUAUCUUUAUGAAGAGUCCUCAAAAUGAUCAUAGCCACCAUGCCGGAUAAGAAGAGAACAAUUACAAGGGAAUUCAUUAUACUAAACCACUGGAUGUUUGUGUGUGGCAUAGACUCCAAGAUGUAGUCCCAUCUGGAAGCCCAUUUAAUAUUAUUCUUUUCUUCAAAUGUCACCGAGUAAGUAUAGAUCAAAUUCAGUUUGUUGGUGAAUUCUCCAGGAAUCUCCAUAGGCGGACCUUCACAGCUUAAGUUGUUUUCAUCUGUGUGUUUGUAGCUUUGCGGUCUCAGUCGUGCCAUCACCAGUCUUGCACCAGGCCAGUUUUCAUCCUUCCCACUAUGGUACAUGAUUGUUAUAUCAACGUGGUUGAAGAGGUAAAAAGUGUUCUUCUUGUUAAACUCUGAAUUUAUAACACAAGCAUCUUUAACUCUACCAUCUGGAGUAACGAAACAUCCUAUUGGGAAUCCUGGAUUACAGAAUUUUUGUCCAUCCUCCACAUCAUAGCACCAUGUCACAGGCAUGUUAU
rnacentral:lncRNA from 1 species